UAGGGAAUCUUCGGCAAUGGGGGCAACCCUGACCGAGCAACGCCGCGUGAGUGAAGAAGGUUUUCGGAUCGUAAAGCUCUGUUGUAAGAGAAGAACGUGUGUGAGAGUGGAAAGUUCACACAGUGACGGUAACUUACCAGAAAGGGACGGCUAACUACGUGCCAGCAGCCGCGGUAAUACGUAGGUCCCGAGCGUUGUCCGGAUUUAUUGGGCGUAAAGCGAGCGCAGGCGGUUUAAUAAGUCUGAGUUAAAGGCAGUGGCUUAACCAUUGUUCGCUUUGGAAACUGUUAAACUUGAGUGCAGAAGGGGAGAGUGGAAUUCCAUGUGUAGCGGUGAAAUGCGUAGAUAUAUGGAGGAACACCGGUGGCGAAAGCGGCUCUCUGGUCUGUAACUGACGCUGAGGCUCGAAAGCGUGGGGAGCAAACAGG
rnacentral:rRNA from 1 species